CAGUUCGGAUCGGAGUCUGNAACCCGACUCCGUGAAGCUGGAUUCGCUAGUAAUCGCGCAUCAGCCAUGGCGCGGUGAAUACGUUCCCGGGCCUUGUACACACCGCCCGUCAAGCCAUGGAAGCCGGGGGCGCUUGAAGUGCGUUGCCGCAAGGCGCGCCCUAGAGCGAAACCGGUGACUGGGGCUAAGUCGUAACAAGGUACC
rnacentral:rRNA from 1 species